AGCAGCCGCGGUAAUUCCAGCUCCAAUAGCGUAUAUUGAAGUUGUUGCAGUUAAAAAGCUCGUAGUUGAAUUUCGGGAUCAAUGUUUCGGUCAUGCCCUUGGUAUGUACUGAUAUUAUUGGUUUCUCACCUUCUAAAGAACCGUAAUGCCAUUAAUUUGGUGUCACGGGGAAUUAGGACUGUUACCUUGAAAAAAUUAGAGUGUUUAAAGCAGGCUCACGCUUGAAUACAUUAGCAUGGAAUAAUGAAAUAGGACAUCCGAUUCUAUUUUGUUGGUUUCUAGGAUCGAUGUAAUGAUUAAUAGGGAUAGUUGGGGGCAUUAGUAUUCAAUUGUCAGAGGUGAAAUUCUUGGAUUUAUUGAAGACUAACUACUGCGAAAGCAUUUGCCAAGGAUGUUUUCAUUAAUCAAGAACGAAAGUUAGGGGAUCGAAGACGAUCAGAUACCGUCGUAGUCUUAACCAUAAACUAUGCCGACUAGGGAUCGGAUGAUGUUAAUUUUUUAAUGACUCA
rnacentral:rRNA from 1 species